AACGAACGCUGGCGGCAUGCCUAACACAUGCAAGUCGAACGAGACCUUCGGGUCUAGUGGCGCACGGGUGCGUAACGCGUGGGAACCUGCCCUUAGGUUCGGAAUAACUCCCCGAAAGGGGUGCUAAUACCGGAUAAUGUCUUCGGACCAAAGAUUUAUCGCCGUUGGAUGGGCCCGCGUUGGAUUAGCUAGUUGGUAGGGUAAAAGCCUACCAAGGCGACGAUCCAGAGCUGGUCGGUGAGGAUGCUCAGCCACACUGGGACUGAGACACGGCCCAGACGCCUACGGGAGGCGGCAGUGGUGAAUAUUGGGCAGUGGGCGAGAGCCUGAUCCAGCAAGGCCGCGUGAGUGAUGAAGGCCUUAGGAUUGUAUAGCUCUUUUACCCGGGAUGAUAUGGACGGAACCGGGAGAAUAAGCUCCGGCUAACUCCGU
rnacentral:rRNA from 1 species